rnacentral:rRNA from 1 species
UACGUAGGGGGCAAGCGUUGUCCGGAAUCAUUGGGCGUAAAGAGCGUGUAGGCGGUUCAGUAAGUCUGCUGUGAAAGUCCAGGGCUCAACCCUGGGAUGCCGGUCGAUACUGCCGGACUAGAGUUCGGAAGAGGCGAGUGGAAUUCCCGGUGUAGCGGUGAAAUGCGCAGAUAUCGGGAGGAACACCUAUGGCGAAGGCAGCUCGCUGGGACGUUACUGACGC